rnacentral:rRNA from 1 species
CCUACGGGAGGCAGCAGUGAGGAAUAUUGGUCAAUGGGCGAGAGCCUGAACCAGCCAAGUAGCGUGAAGGAUGACUGCCCUAUGGGUUGUAAACUUCUUUUAUAAAGGAAUAAAGUCGUAUGCAUACCCGUUUGCAUGUACUUUAUGAAUAAGGAUCGGCUAACUCCGUGCCAGCAGCCG